GACGAACGCUGGCGGCGUGCUUAACACAUGCAAGUCGAACGAAGUGGCGAACGGGUGAGUAACGCGUAAUCAACCUGCCCUUCAGAGGGGGACAACAGUUGGAACCGACUGCUAAUACCGCAUACUGAAGGUGGAGAUUGCGUCUGAUUAGCUAGUUGGUGGGGUAACGGCCCACCAGGGCUAGGAUCAGUAGCCGGGCUGAGGUGAGUAACGGCCACAUUGGGACUGGGACACGGCCCAGACUCCUAAGGGAGGCAGCAGUGGGGAAUCUUCCGAAAUGGACGAAAGUCUGACGGAGCAACGCCCCGUGAGUGAUUACGGCCUUCGGGUUGUAAAGCUCUGUUAAUCGGGACGCGGUACCGGAAUAGAAAGCCACGGCUAACUACGUGCCAGCCGCCGCGGUAAUAC
rnacentral:rRNA from 1 species